GCAGUCCAAAAUAUUAGUCAAUGCUCGCAAGAGUGAACGAGCUAACUGAAAGAAUAUACAAUCUAAAGUUAGGAAUCUUAUAAAUAAAAUUAUAAGAUUAAAUACGAAUCUAACUAACAGUGUCGUCCAAAUUCUGGUGCCAGAAGACUCGGUAAUACCAGAGACGCGAACGUUAAUCAUCUUGAAUGGGCAUAAAGGGUUUGUAGGCGGCUUAUUUAUUAAUAGGCUAGAAUCUUAUAGAGGUUAAUAAAAUACUUAGAGGAGGGCUGAUAUCCUUAGAUCCUAAGUGGAAUCCUAAUUGCGAAGGCCAUUUUCCACUACAGAUUGACGCUGAGACACGAAGGUUAGGAUAGGAACUAGGAUUAGAGACCCUAUUACCCCUAACUGUAAACGAUGAAUGGAAGAUAUUUACAACUGUAAGUGUCGAAGUGAAUACGAUAACCAUUCCGCCUUGCCAGUAUACUUGCAAAAGUGAAAACAAAAAAAUUAGUCGGUCCUAAAGCAAACGAAGUGAAGCAUGUUAUUUAAUU
rnacentral:rRNA from 1 species